rnacentral:piRNA from 1 species
UAACUUUAAAUGUAGAUGUAGGUGAUGU